ACUGUUAUCUUGCUUUGUAGGGUCGUCACAGGAAAGUCGGAACUGCCUCAGCCGAUCAGCGAAUCAACUGCCUGGCGAGACUCUGCGUACGAAGACAUUGAGGACAACAACUUUGUGCCACCACCGAAUAGGCAAGCACAGGAAGCAAGCUCAGCACCUGUCGUGGAUAGUGACUAUAUGGUUCCAACCGACAACAAUGCCGCUGUGCAAUCUGGAUCACUGCAAGCAAAGCCAACGCCUGCCGUUGAUGGUGACUAUCUGGUUCCGACCGACACCGGUGCGGCUGUUAAACGUGGAUCACUCGUUGUUGGUGAUAUGAACCCACCUGCCUCAAAACGCGGUGCUGUGGAGUCCGUGUGUUAUGAGCAAUUUGACGAGGACCAACUACCACUGGUGGCAGCAGAGCAGUACGUA